UACGGGGGGAGCAAGCGUUGUUCGGAUUUACUGGGCGUAAAGGGCGCGUAGGCGGCCACUGCAAGUCGGUUGUGAAAUCUCCGGGCUUAACCCGGAAAGGUCAAUCGAUACUGCAGGGCUAGAGUGCGGAGGGGGCAACUGGAAUUCUCGGUGUAGCGGUGAAAUGCGUAGAUAUCGGGAGGAACACCAGUGGCGAAGGCGACUUCCUGGCCUGUUCUUGACGCUGAGGCGCGAAAGCUAGGGGAGCAAACGGG
rnacentral:rRNA from 1 species